GACGAACGCUGGCGGCGUGCCUAAUACAUGCAAGUAGAACGCUGAAGAGAGGAGCUUGCUCUUCUUGGAUGAGUUGCGAACGGGUGAGUAACGCGUAGGUAACCUGCCUUGUAGCGGGGGAUAACUAUUGGAAACGAUAGCUAAUACCGCAUAACAAUGGAUGACACAUGUCAUUUAUUUGAAAGGGGCAAUUGCUCCACUACAAGAUGGACCUGCGUUGUAUUAGCUAGUAGGUGAGGUAACGGCUCACCUAGGCGACGAUACAUAGCCGACCUGAGAGGGUGAUCGGCCACACUGGGACUGAGACACGGCCCAGACUCCUACGGGAGGCAGCAGUAGGGAAUCUUCGGCAAUGGGGGCAACCCUGACCGAGCAACGCCGCGUGAGUGAAGAAGGUUUUCGGAUCGUAAAGCUCUGUUGUAAGUCAAGAACGAGUGUGAGAGUGGAAAGUUCACACUGUGACGGUAGCUUACCAGAAAGGGACGGCUAACUACGUGCCAGCAGCCGCGGUAAUACGUAGGUCCCGAGCGUUGUCCGGAUUUAUUGGGCGUAAAGCGAGCGCAGGCGGUUUGAUAAGUCUGAAGUUAAAGGCUGUGGCUCAACCAUAGUUCGCUUUGGAAACUGUCAAACUUGAGUGCAGAAGGGGAGAGUGGAAUUCCAUGUGUAGCGGUGAAAUGCGUAGAUAUAUGGAGGAACACCGGUGGCGAAAGCGGCUCUCUGGUCUGUAACUGACGCUGAGGCUCGAAAGCGUGGGGAGCGAACAUG
rnacentral:rRNA from 1 species